GAUCAAGGUAGAAAGGCUAAAUUCGCGUCGUCCUGACGCAACGCCUUUCUGACGCCUUUCUGACCA
rnacentral:sRNA from 1 species